CCCACACGUCUCAUGGUGGCGGCAGUCUCGCUGGGAGGAGGAGGAGCCUCGCCGGGGUCCGCCGUGCGGCACAGGCCUAUGUAGUCCUCGGCUAGGGCCAGGCUCUCUUUCCACAGCCCGCACGACGACAUGUUCUGUGUUAUCCCAAGAGGCGGAGCAGAGCGCCGUGCCGUCCGGGGACAAUCGAACUCUGCUGACACGGUUCUCGUGACCGUACAUUGUGGAAAUACGAUUUCCCUUCAGGACAUCCCACACAUUUAUGGUGUAGUCGUUGUAGCCGGCGAAGAGCAGGCGACCUGAAAGGAAAUUUACCACUGAGGGAAAAGUCCACGGUAGAUGCCCCAAAGAUGAUGCUGUCUUUCUGGUUCAAUCUCACAAGGAAUAAGACGACUUUGUCAACAUGACACAAAAGUGUUCCCGGUCUCGGAGGGGGCGAGGUCCAGUGACAAGAUGUCGGCGGUGUGACCGUGGAAGCUCUGCAGUAGCUGUCCGCCCUCCACGUCCCACAGAGCACACGUGCCAUCGCCACUGCUAUGACAACAUGAACAGCUUGUGUGAUGAAGACCAGACGAUGAGCACUUAGGAGACAAACGCCUCCAUCAGCGGUCCCGGCGGAUUAGAGAAUUCCCGCCGGGUGACCAAUCCAGACGCACUUCCUGUUUAGUGUCCACGGCAAAGCUCCGGUUUCAGUGCGAACGCGUCGCAAUUAUCAGUAAGCCACAAUUAGCGACACGACAGCAGAUGGGAGCCGCGCUGAUCCGACAUGAGAGCUUCAUGGUGGAGUAUGGGUGUGUGAAAAUAAAAAUGGAACACAUCACGCGGAGUACUAAAA